GGCCGCCUAGCGUAAUGGUUAACGCGCUAGUUUCCGGUUAAUCUGAUUGAGCUAGAGAUUGUGGGUUCGAGUCCCAUGGUGGUCG